rnacentral:rRNA from 1 species
AUUCCUACGGGAGGCAGCAGUAAGGAAUAUUGGUCAAUGGGCGCAAGCCUGAACCAGCCAUGCCGCGUGCAGGAAGACGGCCCUAUGGGUUGUAAACUGCUUUUAUCAGGGAAUAAACCCCCGCUCGUGAGCGGGGCUGAAGGUACCUGAAGAAUAAGCAUCGGCUAACUCCGUGCCAGCAGCCGCGGUAAUACGGAGGAUGCAAGCGUUAUCCGGAUUCAUUGGGUUUAAAGGGUGCGCAGGCGGAUUGGUAAGUCAGGGGUGAAAUCCCACAGCUCAACUGUGGAACUGCCUUUGAUACUGUCAGUCUAGAGUAUAGUUGAAGUUGGCGGAAUGUGUCAUGUAGCGGUGAAAUGCUUAGAUAUGACACAGAACACCGAUCGCGAAGGCAGCUAGCUAAGCUAUAACUGACGCUCAUGCACGAAAGCGUGGGGAUCAAACAGGAUUAGAUACCCUGGUAGUCCACGCUGUAAACGAUGAUUACUCGAUGUUGGCGAUACACAGUCAGCGUCUGAGCGAAAGCAAUAAGUAAUCCACCUGGGGAGUACGAUCGCAAGAUUGAAACUCAAAGGAAUUGACGGAAU